rnacentral:rRNA from 1 species
UACGUAGGGAGCAAGCGUUGUCCGGAAUCAUUGGGCGUAAAGCGCACGUAGGCGGCCCGGUAAGUCCGCUGUAAAAGUCCAGGGCUCAACCCUGGAAAGCCGGUGGAUACUGUCGGGCUCGAGUCCGGAAGAGGCGAGUGGAAUUCCUGGUGUAGCGGUGGAAUGCGCAGAUAUCGGGAGGAACACCGAUGGCGAAGGCAGCUCGCUGGGACGGUACUGACGCUGAGGCGCGAAAGCGUGGGGAGCGAACAGG